rnacentral:rRNA from 1 species
AUUGAACGCUGGCGGCAGGCCUAACACAUGCAAGUCGAACGGUAACAGGAAGCAGCUUGCUGCUUCGCUGACGAGUGGCGGACGGGUGAGUAAUGUCUGGGAAGCUGCCUGAUGGAGGGGGAUAACUACUGGAAACGGUAGCUAAUACCGCAUAAUGUCGCAAGACCAAAGAGGGGGACCUUCGGGCCUCUUGCCAUCGGAUGUGCCCAGAUGGGAUUAGCUUGCUGGUGGGGUAACGGCUCACCAAGGCGACGAUCCCUAGCUGGUCUGAGAGGAUGACCAGCCACACUGGAACUGAGACACGGUCCAGACUCCUACGGGAGGCAGCAGUGGGGAAUAUUGCACAAUGGGCGCAAGCCUGAUGCAGCCAUGCCGCGUGUAUGAAGAAGGCCUUCGGGUUGUAAAGUACUUUCAGCGGGGAGGAGGGGAGUAAAGUUAAUACCUUUGCUCAUUGACGUUACCCGCAGAAGAAGCACCGGCUAACUCCGUG